rnacentral:ncRNA from 2 species
AAAAAAAGUAUUACCUUUGCAACCGUUUUCGGAUAUAAGGGAAUUUGGUAGCUUGCCUCAUGGUAACGAAGCCAAAGCUGUGCCCGCAGCCGUAUAUCUCGAUUGAAGCUUGUAGCAAUAAGCCACUGUCGAACAAUUGUUUGUACAAAAAAAUGAUGGGAAGGCGUUACAAAGCGAUGAGAUGAGCCGGAAGACCUGUCCAAGAACUGUGUCAUAA